rnacentral:guide_RNA from 1 species
AUAAAUCUCUAUAUCUAUCUGUUACUAUCACUGUUAGAUUUGUUUUGUA